AUUCUUAAAAGUAUAGUGAAUUAUAAAUAUAUUUCUAUAAUGUUCAACUUUUAUAUAUUUUUUCUACAAAUGUAUUAAUAUUUUUAAAUAUGUCUCUAUGAUUUGUAAUCGUUAAAAUACUGUUUAUUUUAUAAAUAAAAUGACUUUUUUACUAUCAUAAAUAUAUACUUCUAAAAAUUCUAACUAUUAAUUAAAAUGAGUAAAAAGAUCAAUUCGUCUCAUUAACUAAUCAUGGUUAAGUAUUUAACCUAUGGUUAAUUAAAUUUUUUUAACGGAUUCUAAUAACAGAGAUAUAUUUAAAAACGUGAGGACUUUUCGAAAACAACAUAUGAAAGUUGAACUUUGUAGAUAUAUUUGCAAUUCAUUAUAUUUGUAAGGUCUUCUAUACAAUUAACCCAUUGAAA
rnacentral:lncRNA from 1 species